rnacentral:rRNA from 1 species
CGUAACACGUGAGCAACCUGCCCCAGAGUCCGGGAUAACUUCGGGAAACCGAGGCUAAUACCGGAUGCCCUCAUCGGAUCUCCUGGUCUGAUGCGAAAAGAUUUAUCGCUCUGGGAGGGGCUCGCGGCCUAUCAGCUAGUUGGUGGGGUAACGGCCCACCAAGGCGACGACGGGUAGCUGGUCUGAGAGGACGAUCAGCCACACUGGGACUGAGACACGGCCCAG